rnacentral:rRNA from 1 species
ACGGCUCAGUAACACGUUGGGAAUCUGCCCCGAGGAACGGGAUACCCAGGCGAAAGCUUGGCUAAUACCGUAUAUGACGGCUUAGGGAUGCCUUUGCCGUUGAAAGGCCGCAGCAAUGCGGCGCCACGGGAUGAACCUGCGGAUGAUUAGCCAGUUGGCGGGGCAAAGGCCCACCAAAGCGAGGAUCAUUAGCCGGACUGAGAGGUCGGCCGGCCACACAGGAACUGAGACACGGUCCUGACUCCUACGGGAGGCAGCAGUAGGGAGUAUUCGGCAAUGGGGGAAACCCUGACCGAGCGACGCCGCGUGCGCGAUGAAGCCCUUCGGGGUGCAGAGCGCUGUGACGGGGGACGAAUGCGGAGGGCAGGAAAUGGCCUUCCGUCGACGGUACCCCGUUAGAAAGCUACGGCUGACUACGUGCCAGCAGCCGCGGUAAUACGAU